rnacentral:rRNA from 1 species
CACGUAGGCACCAAGCGUUGUCCGGAUUUAUUGGGCGUAAAGAGCUCGUAGGCGGUUCGGUAAGUCGGGUGUGAAAACUCUGGGCUCAACCCAGAGCCGCCACCCGAUACUGCUGUGACUCGAGUGCGGUAGGGGAGCGGGGAAUUCCUGGUGUAGCGGUGAAAUGCGCAGAUAUCAGGAAGAACACCCGUGGCGAAGGCGGCUCUCUGGGACGGUACUGACGCUGAGACGCGAAAGCGUGGGGAGCGAACAGG